rnacentral:misc_RNA from 1 species
GAUGAAGAACGUAGCGAAAUGCGAUAAGUAAUGUGAAUUGCAGAAUUCAGUGAAUCAUCGAAUCUUUGAACGCACCUUGCACCCUUUGGCUAUUCCGAAGGGUAUGCCUGUUUGAGUAUCAUGAACACCUCAACUCUCAUGGUUUGCCAUGAUGAGCUUGGACUUUGGGGGUCUUGCUGGCCUGUGGUCAGCUCCUCUCAAAUGGAUUAGCUUGCCAGUGUUUGGUGGCAUCACAGGUGUGAUAACUAUCUACGCUUGUGGUUUUCCACCAGGUAACCUUCAGCAAUGGGGGUUCGCUGGGGCUCAUAAAUGUCUCUCCUCAGUGAGGACAGCUCUUUGAACGUUUGAUCUCAAAUCAGGUAGGACUACCCGCUGAACUUAAGCAUAUCAAUAAGCGGAGGA